rnacentral:lncRNA from 1 species
GGGUUUAUAAGAGACUUAGACACUAGUAAUAAUAACUGGGCUUAAGCAUUUUUGGGCUGUUGACUGGGCCCAACGAGUUAUUAUUGCUAGUGGGCUGGGUCGUUAUAUUUGGUAUCAGAGCCGGUUCACCAGCUGGACAUGUGUGGCGAGUCUCGGCUGAGUAAGGGUCUGGAUGACGGGCUAGCGAGACGAGUCUCACAUAGCCUGGUGAUCUUGGGCUGUGUGUGAUUGGACUGACGAGGACGUCAGGACCUUAACGAGGGGAGUCUAUGACACCCCAAUAGUCCCACAUCGGAUGAGAAUGGGGUUGUCAUUGGGUUUAUAAGAGACUUAGACACUAGUAAUAAUAACUGGGCUUAAGCAUUUU